rnacentral:rRNA from 1 species
UACGGAGGGUGCAAGCGUUAUCCGGAUUCACUGGGUUUAAAGGGUGCGUAGGUGGGUAGGUAAGUCAGUGGUGAAAUCUUCGAGCUUAACUCGGAAACUGCCAUUGAUACUAUCUGUCUUGAAUACUUUGGAGGUAAGCGGAAUAUGUCAUGUAGCGGUGAAAUGCUUAGAUAUGACAUAGAACACCAAUUGCGAAGGCAGCUUACUACACAGUCAUUGACACUGAGGCACGAAAGCGUGGGGAUCAAACAGG